CUGAUGGCUUUCAAGGAAAAUGGCGUGUGUAUUUCCUCCACAUCCCCGGUAUUUUAAAGUUUGGUUCUCAUGCACAGAGGAGUGUUGUCACGAGAUGCUAACAGCUUCAAAUAAGCCGAGAUGCAGCCGAACUUCAUUGUUUAUACAAAGUAAGGAAGAUAAGGUAAUGAAUGUCCAAAUAUGUCCUGUAGCCCCAUUGUUUGCUGUGAUUCCUGGAAGAAGAUUCGCAGAUAACACAGACCCCAUGUAACCCCUGGAC